rnacentral:rRNA from 1 species
GACGAACGCUGGCGGCGUGCCUAAUACAUGCAAGUUGAGCGCUGAAGGUUGGUACUUGUACCAAAUGGAUGAGCAGCGAACGGGUGAGUAACGCGUGGGGAAUCUGCCUUUGAGCGGGGGACAACAUUUGGAAACGAAUGCUAAUACCGCAUAAAAACUUUAAACACAAGUUUUAAGUUUGAAAGAUGCAAUUGCAUCACUCAAAGAUGAUCCCGCGUUGUAUUAGCUAGUUGGUGAGGUAAAGGCUCACCAAGGCGAUGAUACAUAGCCGACCUGAGAGGGUGAACGGCCAAAAUGGGACUGGGAAACGGCCCAAACUCCUAAGGGGAGGAGCAGUAGGGAAUCUUUGGAAAUGGACGAAAGGCUGACCGAGCAACGCCGCGUGAGGGAAGAAGGUUUUCGGAUCGUAAAACUCUGUUGGUAGAGAAGAAAGUGGGUGAGAGUGGAAAGCUCAUCAAGUGACGGUAACUAAACAGAAAGCAACGGCUAACUACGUG